rnacentral:rRNA from 1 species
CCUACGUGGGGCUGCAGUGGGGAAUAUUGGACAAUGGGGGGAACCCUGAUCCAGCCAUGCCGCGUGUGUGAAGAAGGCCCUCGGGUUGUAAAGCACUUUCAGUGAGGAAGAACGCCUGGUGGUUAAUACCCAUCAGGAAAGACAUCACUCACAGAAGAAGCACCGGCUAACUCCGUGCCAGCAGCCGCGGUAAUACGGAGGGUGCGAGCGUUAAUCGGAAUUACUGGGCGUAAAGCGCGCGUAGGUGGCUUGAUAAGCCGGUUGUGAAAGCCCCGGGCUCAACCUGGGAACGGCAUCCGGAACUGUCAAGCUAGAGUGCAGGAGAGGAAGGUAGAAUUCCCGGUGUAGCGGUGAAAUGCGUAGAGAUCGGGAGGAAUACCAGUGGCGAAGGCGGCCUUCUGGACUGACACUGACACUGAGGUGCGAAAGCGUGGGUAGCAAACAGGAUUAGAUACCCGGGUAGUC